UCCCCCUUCCCGGCGCACUCGGGGGGCUGGGAACGAGCUGCCAUGUGAUGCGCGUCCCCUCCGCAAGCUUUCGGUGACCCACGAACUGCCCACCUCGCCGGCUGCCGGGAGGGGGCUGCGAGCCGGGAAGACGCGGGGAAGAGGAGGCGGAAAAGGACGCAAAGUUCUCCGGCGAGUGCAGCUGUCUGCUUCAGAAAGUGAGGGCUCCAGGAAUGAGGAGAAUCUUCAAGAGCUGCCUCGCACUGUGACAUGUCUGAUCCCUUGCUCCCAUCCCUGCAGCAUGAACAAGGUGGACACUCACUGACCUGUCACAAGGUUGCCCCACAAAACUUUGGGGUCCAUGUCUGAAUGGAUUGCCAGAGCCUUCUCAUCUCUCCCUUCGCCCAGUUCCCUGCAUCCUAAGACUCG
rnacentral:lncRNA from 1 species